rnacentral:rRNA from 1 species
CGGCUUAGGAUGAACGCUAGCGACAGGCCUAACACAUGCAAGUCGAGGGGCAGCACAAGGAGCAAUCUGAGGUGGCGACCGGCGCACGGGUGAGUAACACGUAUGCAACCUGCCUGUAAGCGGGGAAUAACCCGUUGAAAGACGGACUAAUACCGCAUAAUACUAAAUUACUGCAUGGUAAUUUAUUUAAACAUUUAUGGCUUACAGAUGGGCAUGCGCAUGAUUAGCUAGUUGGAGAGGUAACGGCUCCCCAAGGCAACGAUCAUUAGGGGUUCUGAGAGGAAGGUCCCCCACACUGGUACUGAGACACGGACCAGACUCCUACGGGAGGCAGCAGUGAGGAAUAUUGGUCAAUGGACGAGAGUCUGAACCAGCCAAGUCGCGUGCAGGAAGAAUGUCCUUAAUGGAUUGUAAACUGCUUUUGCAGGGGAAUAAAGUGCAUCACGUGUGAUGUUUUGUAUGUACUCUGCGAAUAAGGAUCGGCUAACUCCGUGCCAGCCGCUGC